rnacentral:lncRNA from 1 species
UCACCUUCAGAGGAUUUGGCGGCACAUGCACCUUAUCAGCAUAAAUCUGGAAUUUAUGACACUUCCGAGCAUAUUUAAAGCAAUCUGACUCCAUGGUCAUCCAAUAAUAACCCGCUCUCAACAAUUUCUUAGCCAUUGCAUGUCCGCCGGCGUGAGUACCGAAGGAACCUUCAUGAACUUCCUGCAUUAACAUGUCCGCUUCGUGUCUGUCCACACAUCUGAG